rnacentral:tRNA from 1 species
GGAGAGAUGCCAGAGUGGUCGAAUGGGCCGGUCUCGAAAUCCGGAGUCUGUCACAGGACCGAGGGUUCGAAUCCCUCUCUCUCCUUUG